GCGGCCAUGGCGUAAUGGCAGCGUAAGGGACUGUGGAUCCCUUGGCCCGAGUUCGAUUCUCGGUGGCCGCCCCA
rnacentral:tRNA from 1 species